rnacentral:rRNA from 1 species
UCCUGAUGGCUCACAUGAAGUUUCGUGCCGUUCCGACCUCGUUUGAUACGGUUAUGGUUAACCACACGGCCCCUCGGGCCCGACCCGAGCCCAGUCAACGUUUUGACCCGAUCAAAUCGGCCCGUGACCCGAAACGACCCUACUUGGGCCCUACAACAGCCACGUAAAGUUUCGGGAUGAUCCGACGUUCUUUCAUGGGGUUACGGACAAUCCACGCCAAACAAGCGUCACGGGCCGACCGAGCCGGGCCAACGGGCCCUCGGGACCCGAAAACUGAAUUUUUUUUCAUCCAAACCCAUUAAAACACGUUACCGAGGUCUCACGCAAAAUUUCAUGCCAAUCCGACGUCGUUUGAUGGGGUUUUGAGAUAUUAUGAUUCCUCAAAAAUUUAAUGUCUGUUCCUGUCACUUAGCUUUUUGUGCAAAAUGUAUAUAUAGGGGAGGGGUGGGUGUUGAGCAGCCCAUGCCCGGGCAAGGCAUGCCAGCGCCCAAGCCAAAGGAGGCUGGUGGCGUGCGUAUAACAGCUCAAAUGCCCCAACGAUGACCGAGAACAAGCGCCCAUCUCCCCUCCUUCCCCCCCACCAAGCGCCCCUCCCCCCCCAUGUUGCCUGCCCACUCGCACAGCUACUCGUGAUUUCAUGCCCAGCGACUAGUGAAUGUGCCUCGACGACCAGCAAACCUCGAAAAUUAUGAUUCCUCGUAAAAUUAAUGUCUGUUCCUGUCACUUUACUUUUUGUGCAAAAUGUAUAUAUAGGGGAGACCAGGGGCUUGAGCAACCCCUGUGCCCAAGCAAGGGUCAGAUGGAAGCACACGAGACGCGAGGUUUAAAGCCUAUACAAGCAAGGCGUCUGUCUCCCCAAGCCCCAUUGCCUAUAAAACAAGCCCGAUGCCUUGUAAAUGCCCCACACGAUGCCUAUAAACGACAACGAUGUUUGCUAGUUAAUCGAUCGACGCCCCACACCUUGCAGCAUGUUGCCUAGUAAACAAGCCAUGCUGCCUUGGAAGCGCCCCACAUCAUGGCAUGUUGCCUAGCACGCUGCCCUUGUUUCCAGCACGGCGACCUGAAAGCGUGGCCUGACGACGUGGUUGCCUUCGAAAAUUAUGAUUCCUCAAAAAAUUAAUGUCUGUUCCUGUCACUUUACUUUUUGU